rnacentral:rRNA from 1 species
AUUGAACGCUGGCGGCAUGCCUUACACAUGCAAGUCGAACGGCAGCGCGGGGCAACCUGGCGGCGAGUGGCGAACGGGUGAGUAAUAUAUCGGAACGUACCCUGGAGUGGGGGAUAACGUAGCGAAAGUUACGCUAAUACCGCAUACGAUCUAAGGAUGAAAGUGGGGGAUCGCAAGACCUCAUGCUCCUGGAGCGGCCGAUAUCUGAUUAGCUAGUUGGUAGGGUAAAAGCCUACCAAGGCAUCGAUCAGUAGCUGGUCUGAGAGGACGACCAGCCACACUGGAACUGAGACACGGUCCAGACUCCUACGGGAGGCAGCAGUGGGGAAUUUUGGACAAUGGGCGCAAGCCUGAUCCAGCAAUGCCGCGUGAGUGAAGAAGGCCUUCGGGUUGUAAAGCUCUUUUGUCAGGGAAGAAACGGGUUUUUCUAAUACAGAGAUCUAAUGACGGUACCUGAAGAAUAAGCACCGGCUAACUACGUGCCAGCAGCCGCGGUAAUACGUAGGGUGCAAGCGUUAAUCGGAAUUACUGGGCGUAAAGCGUGCGCAGGCGGUUUUGUAAGACUGUCGUGAAAUCCCCGGGCUCAACCUGGGAACUGCAUUCAAAACUGACUGACUAGAGUAUGGUAGAGGGUGGUGGAAUUUCCUGU